rnacentral:lncRNA from 1 species
AGGAACUCACUUAAACUAAAGGAAGAUAAGAGUGGUGAAAAUGAAAGUGGAAUUCCUGUUUGCAGAUCCCAGUGAGGUCAAAGGACUGGUGGAAUAUCUAUACCAGAAGGAAUACAUGGUCAGGAUACAGGAGUCCGUUUUGAGAUUUGGAUGGUGUCAAGAAAUUGUCGCAGGCAAGAGUGAUGGCUCAGUGGUCAAGAAUGCCUACAAAAGGAGACAGUUGCUUCAAGUUGUCCUCUGGCCUUCAUAUAUGUGCUGUGGCAUGCAUGAUUGCCUAUCACUGCCAUGACAAGAGACACCAUCCCUCAGAAGAUAGAUGUCAGGAAGAGCAUGUGGGUCUCCUGUGCCUCAGACUGGCCUUGAAGUUUCUAUACAGCAGAGGGGAUAACGUUGAAUUUCUGAUCCCAUGUCUUCACCUCCUGAGUGACAGGAUUACAGGUGUGCCUCACUGCAUGUGAUUUCUGGGGCACUGGGGAUGGGAAACGGGACUUCAUGCAAACCAACUGAGUUACCUCCCAAGGCAAUGUU